UUUCUACUCCCUCCAUCCGAAAAUACUUGUCAUCAAAAUGGAUAAAAAGAGAUGUAUCUAAAACUAAAAUACGUCUAGAUACAUUUCCUUUUAUCCAUUUUCAUGACAAGUAUUUCCGGACGGAGGGAGUAUUUG
rnacentral:pre_miRNA from 1 species